rnacentral:rRNA from 1 species
AGUGAACGCUGGCGGUAGGCCUAACACAUGCAAGUCGAACGGCAGCACAGUAAGAGCUUGCUCUUACGGGUGGCGAGUGGCGGACGGGUGAGGAAUACAUCGGAAUCUACUUUUUCGUGGGGGAUAACGUAGGGAAACUUACGCUAAUACCGCAUACGACCUACGGGUGAAAUCAGGGGAUCUUCGGACCUUGCGCGAUUGAAUGAGCCGAUGUCGGAUUAGCUAGUUGGCGGGGUAAAGGCACACCAAGGCGACGAUCCGUAGCUGGUCUGAGAGGAUGAUCAGCCACACUGGAACUGAGACACGGUCCAGACUCCUACGGGAGGCAGCAGUGGGGAAUAUUGGACAAUGGGCGCAAGCCUGAUCCAGCCAUACCGCGUGGGUGAAGAAGGCCUUCGGGUUGUAAAGCCCUUUUGUUGGGAAAGAAAAGCAGCAGGUUAAUACCCCGCUGUUCUGACGGUACCCAAAGAAUAAGCACCGGCUAACUUCGUG